UCAGGACGAACGCUGGCGGCGUGCCUAAUACAUGCAAGUCGAACGGUCUUUCUAUGGAAGCUUGCUUCACUGAGAAGAUAGUGGCGAACGGGUGAGUAACACGUGGGUAACCUGCCCAUAAGAGGGGGAUAACGAUCCGGAAACGGGUGCUAAUACCGCAUAGUUUUCUUGAUCGCAUGAUCGGGAAAGGAAAGACGGCCUUUGUGCUGUCGCUUAUGGAUGGACCCGCGGCGUAUUAGUUAGUUGGUGAGGUAACGGCUCACCAAGACGAUGAUACGUAGCCGACCUGAGAGGGUGAUCGGCCACAUUGGGACUGAGACACGGCCCAAACUCCUACGGGAGGCAGCAGUAGGGAAUCUUCCGCAAUGGACGAAAGUCUGACGGAGCAACGCCGCGUGAGUGAAGAAGGUUUUUCCGGAUCGUAAAACUCUGUUGUCAGAGAAGAACAAGUUGGAGAGUAACUGCUCCAGCCUUGACGGUAUCUGACCAGAAAGCCACGGCUAACUACGUGCCAGCAGCCGC
rnacentral:rRNA from 1 species